GAUGAACGCUGGCGGCGUGCCUAAUACAUGCAAGUCGAGCGAACGGACGAGAAGCUUGCUUCUCUGAUGUUAGCGGCGGACGGGUGAGUAACACGUGGAUAACCUACCUAUAAGACUGGGAUAACUUCGGGAAACCGGAGCUAAUACCGGAUAAUAUUUUGAACCGCAUGGUUCAAAAGUGAAAGACGGUCUUGCUGUCACUUAUAGAUGGAUCCGCGCUGCAUUAGCUAGUUGGUAAGGUAACGGCUUACCAAGGCAACGAUGCAUAGCCGACCUGAGAGGGUGAUCGGCCACACUGGAACUGAGACACGGUCUAGACUCCUACGGGAGGCAGCAGUAGGGAAUCUUCCGCAAUGGGCGAAAGCCUGACGGAGCAACGCCGCGUGAGUGAUGAAGGUCUUCGGAUCGUAAAACUCCGUUAUUAGGGAAGAACAUAUGUGUAAGUAACUGUGCACAUCUUGACGGUACCUAAUCAGAAAGCCACGGCUAACUACGUGCCAGCAGCCGCGGUAAUACGUAGGUGGCAAGCGUUAUCCGGAAUUAUUGGGCGUAAAGCGCGCGUAGGCGGUUUUUUAAGUCUGAUGUGAAAGCCCACGGCUCAACCGUGGAGGGUCAUUGGAGACUGGAAAACUUGAGUGCAGAAGAGGAAAGUGGAAUUCCAUGUGUAGCGGUGAAAUGCGCAGAGAUAUGGAGGAACACCAGUGGCGAAGGCGACUUUCUGGUCUGUAACUGACGCUGAUGUGCGAAAGCGUGGGGAUCAAACAGGAUUAGAUACCCUGGUAGUCCACGCCGUAAACGAUGAGUGCUAAGUGUUAGGGGGCUUCCGCCCCUUAGUGCUGCAGCUAACGCAUUAAGCACUCCGCCUGGGGAGUACGACCGCGAGGUUGAAACUCAAAGGAAUUGACGGGGACCCGCACAAGCGGUGGAGCAUGUGGUUUAAUUCGAAGCAACGCGAAGAACCUUACCAAAUCUUGACAUCCUUUGACAACUCUAGAGAUACAGCCUUCCCCUUCGGGGGACAGAGCGACAGGGUGUUGCAUGGCUGUCCUCAGCUCGUGUCGUGAGAUGUUCGGCUACGUCCCGCAACCAGCGCACCCCUUAACCCUUACUUGCCCAUCAUUAACUCGGCCACCUCUAAGUUGACUGCCCCGUGACAAACCGCGAGCCACGCGCGGAUUAAAUCAAAUCAUCCAGCCCCUUCUGAAUUGGGACUAACCCCUUGCUACAUGGACAAGUAAAGGGAGUUCCUAAACUCGCGGUCCGCCCUAUCCC
rnacentral:rRNA from 1 species